AUGAAGCUGGUUGUUCCUUUUCUUUGCCCGGUGCAACGCACGGGCAUUUGUACUAGUGAUGAUAAUGCUGCCAUCAGAGGAAAAGACCAAGAUCACUCGGCCAUUGGAGUCAUCUUCAGAGAGAUUAAAAAAUUUGCUCGUUUAAAUUUUUCUCCGUUUGAUAUUGCUUUUUGCCCAAGAGGCUGUAAUAAGGUAGCUGACUCUCUAGCUGCUCACGAAGCGAGUAUGGGCCAUGCAUCCUCAGCCUUUUUGGCCGGAUGGGGCGCCGGAUUUUGUACACGCUUUGAUUACAAGCGACAUGGCUGGUCGUUCUGUCCUCCAAAAGCUAGGAUUUGGGCUCAAGUAGAUUGCGUGGGUGGCUGGAUUGCUUGCAUGCAUCUUUCAUCCACGAGGGUUCUUGUUAGGGAAACGUUUGUGGCCAGCGGUCUGGCUGAAACUUCGGCCGGUCGUGCGCGGCGCGUACGAUACAAGCAAUCGUAUGUUCCAUAUUCUUCUUCACGCCAACACACUAGCGCGUGGGCCUCGUGCGGCUGCUGGCCCAUCUGCUCACCCAACCUUAUCUCUUCCUCACGCUCACCCAGCCUUAUCUCUUCCUCACGAGACUCCUCAACCAUUCGUUCUCCACCGCCGCUCUAUCUCUAUGUCUCUCUCAAUCCAAUUCAAGCAUGGCGACUGCAAGCAAGGUGGGCGCCGACGGGCCUGAUGGUGGUGCGGGGGGACGCACCCAUGGAUGCUGGCGAGAGUUACAACCAUGGCGGCUAG
rnacentral:rRNA from 1 species